UACGUAGGGUGCGAGCGUUGUCCGGAAUUAUUGGGCGUAAAGAGCUUGUAGGCGGUCUGUCGCGUCUGCUGUGAAAAUCCAGGGCUCAACCCCGGACUUGCAGUGGGUACGGGCAGACUAGAGUGUGGUAGGGGAGACUGGAAUUCCUGGUGUAGCGGUGAAAUGCGCAGAUAUCAGGAGGAACACCGAUGGCGAAGGCAGGUCUCUGGGCCACUACUGACGCUGAGAAGCGAAAGCAUGGGGAGCGAACAGG
rnacentral:rRNA from 1 species